GCAAAAACCUAGUCCAACCAACAAACAUAUACUCAAUCAAAAAAAUAAUCCUAUCAACAUUAAACUAAAACAUUUUACCAUCUCAGUAUUAGGCGAUAGAAAAGACACGUUGGAGCAAUAAAGACAGUACCGCAAGGGAAAGAUGAAAAACAUGAAAUAUAAUUUAAGCCACAAAAAGCAAAGAUUAACCCUUAUACCUCUUGCAUCAUGAUUUAACUAGCAUACCCAAGCAAAGCGAACUAAAGUCUGAAUCCCCGAAACCAAGUGAGCUACUUAAAGGCAGCCAAUAUCAUCUGGCUUAAAUCCGUCUCUGUAGCAAAAGAGUGGAAAGACCUAUAAGUAGAGGUGAAACGCCUAACGCACUUGGUGAUAGCUGGUUGCUCAAUAAAAGAAUAUAAGUUCAACCUUAAAUAUCCUAAAAACAAAAUAUAAAGUAUUUAAGAGAAAUUUAAGAUAUACUCAAUUGAGGUACAGCUCAAUUGAAAAAGGAAACAACCUAAAAUAGAGGACAAAACACUUAAACAUUAUUAUUGUAGGCUUCAAAGCAGCCACCACCAAAGACAGCGUCAAAGCUCACUAACAACAAAUAUCAACACCAAUUUUUUCCCUAAACAAUAUUGAGCUAUUCUACCUAAAUAGAAGAACUAAUGUUAAAAUAAGUAACAAGAAGACAAAACUUCUCUAACGCGCUAGCUUAAAUCAUAACAGAUAAACUAAUGAUUAUUAACAACUAACAUUAUAAAACCAACAAUACUAAACACACCAUAUAAACCAAAUUGUUAACCCAACACAGGAGCGCAUACAAGAAAGAUUAAAAUUUGUAAAAGGAACUAGGCAAACAACCGAGCCCGACUGUUUACCAAAAACAUAGCCUCUAGCAACAACAAGUAUUAGAGGUAAUGCCUGCCCAGUGACACUGUUAAACGGCCGCGGUAUCCUAACCGUGCAAAGGUAGCGUAAUCACUUGUCUUUUAAAUAAAGACUAGAAUGAAUGGCCAAACGAGGUUCCACCUGUCUCUUACAAACAAUCAGUGAAAUUGGUCUCCCCGUGCAAAAGCGGGGAUAACAUUAUAAGACGAGAAGACCCUGUGGAACUUUAAAUAUAAAUCAACUAUUACACUUACUACCCUAAAGACUUAUAACUUACUAGUUCUGAUCCAUAUUUUUGGUUGGGGUGACCUCGGAGUAAAACAAAACCUCCGAAAAAAAGAACAUACUUUCUUAACCUAGAUUUACAACUCAAAGUGCCAACGGUAAAAUGAUCCAAUACAUUUGAUCAACGAACCAAGCUACCCCAGGGAUAACAGCACAAUCCCAUCCUAGAGUCCCUAUCGACGAUGGGGUUUACGACCUCGAUGUUGGAUCAGGACAUCCUGAUGGUGCAACCGCUAUCAAGGGUUCGUUUGUUCAACGAUUAACAGUCCCACGUGAUCUGAGUUCAGACCGGAGCAAUCCAGGUCGGUUUCUAUCUAUAAAAUUUGGGCUUUUUCCAGUACGAAAGGACCGAAAAACCAAGGCCUAUAUCAAAAACAAGCCUUACCUUACAUUAAUGAAACCAACUUAACUAAUAAUAAGGACAAAACCACGCAUCCCAAGCCCAAAAAAAGGGCAAA
rnacentral:rRNA from 1 species